UGGUGGGGUGAUUUGUCUGGUUGAUUCCGAUAACGAACGAGACGCCGAUUUACUAAAUAGUACGUGUGGUUUUCUAAUAGUGAAGCCCGGGAUGUGGGCGGGAGGGCGCAAGUUCUCUUGUUUCUCCUUGGUGAAUCUAGGAUUAUCCUAGCGGACUUCUUAGCAAGACUACCGGCGUUUAGCCGGGGGAAGUGGCGCAAUAACA
rnacentral:rRNA from 1 species